rnacentral:misc_RNA from 1 species
AAGUAGUAACAAGGUUUCCGGAGGUGAACCUGCGGAAGGAUCAAACGUUAAAACAACCCUGUGAACCUUCAGAGUGUUCUUGCAGGACAUCAAAACAGCAAUCCCAAGUAAAUCAGGCGCUAAAGAAUUACAGAUUUUUAUUUUGGGAAGUUCUUGUGUAAUCCCCUGUCUGAAAGCGGCAAGGCAUCAGUGUUCAGGGUGGCGCAGUCAACGAUCGCUGUAGGUCCACACGACCGGCGACCGGGGUGCAGGCGAAAGCCCCUACGUCAUCCCUAUGUACCCUCCGGGACUUGGCGAAAGCUGACUCCGUCAUAAAUCGAACAACUGUUAACAAUGGAUAUCUUGGUUCUC